ACGCUGGCGGCGUGCUUAACACAUGCAAAGUCGAACGGGGCGAAGUGAUAGCUUGCUAUUAUGGAGCCUAGUGGCAAACGGGUGAGUAACGCGUAGGCAACCUGCCCUUCAGAUGGGGACAACACCUCGAAAGGGGUGCUAAUACCGAAUGACGUUUCCUGGUCGCAUGACCUGGAAACCAAAGGCCGGGCAACCGGUCACUGAAGGAUGGGCCUGCGUCUGAUUAGCUAGUUGGUGGGUAACGGCCCACCAAGGCGACGAUCAGUAGCCGGUCUGAGAGGAUGAACGGCCACAUUGGGACUGAGACACGGCCCAAACUCCUACGGGAGGCAGCAGUGGGGAAUCUUCCGCAAUGGGCGCAAGCCUGACGGAGCAACGCCGCGUGAGUGAAGAAGGUCUUCGGAUUAGUAAAACUCUGUCCUUGGGGAAGAAGAACUGACGGUACCCUUGGAGGAAGCCCCGGCUAACUACGUG
rnacentral:rRNA from 1 species